AAGAGAGAGCAGCACGCUUGUUUUGCGGAGGAGCUGCGAAGGUGAAGAGAAAGUGGAGAGAUCGCCCAAGUCGGAGGCGGCGGUCGGAGAAGAGGAAUGCCGAUUUUGAGAUGGAAUUCUCGUAGUGGUUUGUGAUGGGAGCAUGCAACUCUUUCCUCUCUUAAUUAUGAUUAGUUGCUUUGCCUUCUCAAGAAAACAGAGCGUCAUUGCAUGAAGAGGUGAGACAAGGCUUGGGUAUCGUUGCUGCUGCUGCUGUUGUACAUUAAGGGUCUGGCCAGUCAUGAACUUACAGCAUGUUUAAAACAAGAUAGCCCGCCCCAUUUACCAUGUUCAUAUAUGCACACGCGCUCCAGAAUAUACUUAGGACUUACCUCUAACUGAUCCAUCCACUCUGCCGACAGGCCCUGGUGGUCAAGACUCAAGAAUAUGUAGUUUACUAGAAGGAAAAAUAUUGUCUGGAGCUAUCCAUAUCAUGUGAAUAAUGAAUAUAACCUCAAGACUUAUGUUCCUUAGGAUCAACCCUUAAGAUCUUUUUAAUGAGUAUACACAUUUUGAAGUGGGAAAAGAUUAUUCUUGGAGGCAAAAUCACAUCAGAUGAAAGAUUCGAGAUGUCGUGGAACAAUUGUAGGAGGCGAUUCAUGUUUCUCUUUAUAGUACUAGUAUUUCAUCUGGAGGUAUGUAAAAUAGGUUCUUCAAGUGAAGAAUUCUGUACAUCUCUCACUACUAUGUGGAGAAACAAUUAUGGCAGUUAGCCUAGUGGUCAUGGGUGGGUUGGGGGUUUGGACAUGUGACAUUGUAACUUAGGGUUGAGGGGUUGACCCCCGAGAAAGUCAAAAGAAAAAUUAUCGAAAUCCAUUUGUGAACCUUUGUUUGUAUGGACUUUAUGCACUUCUAAUUGUCUUUGGAUGGUGUUUCCCCAUAAUUCGAUCUCUGUAUUGUAAAUAACAAGAUUUGGGUAUCUAGCUGGUGCUUUGAAGCUA